GAAACCACCAAGGAGAUCAACUUGGCAAGAUUUUCACUUCAGAUUCCCCUGACCUCUACAACAAGUUUGGUUGUCUCAUAUUCUCUCCAGUUCCUUAGGCCAGCUCAAGUUUUAUCAGUAUCUUUUGGACCCAAUGAGUCCUUCCUGGCCUCACUCCAGAAGAAGACUGGCCUCAGUCCAGAGAAACAAAAAAUGUGAAAUUCACCCACUGGAACUCUCCUUCUCCAAGUAUCAGUCUCCUUCCAGAAUUUCCGGCUUCUGGUCUCUUUUCAAGGAAUUUAGAAGUUUCCCAAAUGGCUCUUCAGAUAAUUAAUAUAGUGGAACUUGUACAUGGGAUAGGAAACCAAGUUCCUAAGCAAGUAUGACUGGCUUGAGUAUCACCCUAAACCAAGUUCCCCUAUAUUCUCACCAGUAACUAAAAGCAUAGUGUCCAGAAUGAAUCUAAGUAGAAGAAGGGAAGACGAGAAGGACACAAGAAGGAAGACAAGGAAAAAUGUCGACCUCAAAGAACUAGAGGAACAACACUGGAGUUAUACGAAACACCCAGAAUUAGAAUCAGAGCAAUUUGAUUGGAUUUACUACAGCUGAUUCUAGAUACAAGAACUUUACCGAGCCAUUUACAAUUUUUGUGCUUCAAUUUCAUCAUUUUAAAACAGAAAGAAAGCAUUUACCUUAUACGCUUGUUGCUUAGAUUAUAAAGGAAUUAUCUAUAUAAAAAGUACAAUAAAGAAGAAUAUAAAUGUAAGAAUGUAGAGGGUCACAAACAUUGUUUGAAAUAUCCAUGCUUUUCAUUUUGGAGUGAAAAGAGGAAAAAUACUAACUGUAAAAUUAAAUUCAUUACUAUAUCAAAGUCAAGCCUGCCUAUCAAGUCAUUUGACAGUUAAAAAUGUUUUGUUUAUCCCAUAAACUUUAUGAAAAAACUAGUUCAUUGCCAAAGGGAUGUUACUUACAGCAAAAUCUCUAGAAGCUCUGAAAUAGAAUUUGAGUUUUAUUUGCAUUUUAUUUUUACAUUCUUACUACUCUACUAACUACAUUCUGCCUAAGUAAAUAUGCUCAAAGCUUUAAAAGUAGGCUGAAUGAAUCACUGGUGGAAAAAUAAUGACCAGGAGCCAACAACAAGCUGAAAAAACAAGAAUCCAUAAUCUCCAUAUGAGAGGAAACUGUGUGGUAAGAUGGAUUUAAUGGGUCUGGGCUAAAAUGGUAAAAGUAUAAUGGAUGUAGCUAAAACAAACAAGGUCCAACUCUAAACCAGCACAAGAAAAACAGAGCAAGGGCAUUUGAUUUCAUUUAAAAGAAAUUAAAUUUUAAAUCAAAGUAAAAAAUGUAAGUCAUUACAAUAUUGAGGUAGUUAGUGGAGUUGACUGUAUAAGAAAUUGGCUACUACUUUCAAAGGGCUUCAUCAUUUUAAAGCUAUACAAAUAUUUGUCUUGGAUAAGGUUAAAAUUAUGAAGACAUCAAAAUUCAAAGAAAGUUCAAUGCCUUUUGGGGGUCAGAAAGUCUGAAAAUAAAAAAUUCAUGUAUUUUCUUUUGUUCAUAAGAAAUGAAAAGUGGUCUUUCAUUUUUUCCCAUCUAAUAUAUCAAUAUAGCAACUUUUGUCAAACAAAGGAGAUAAACAUCUGGGUUACUAUGGGUAAGUUUUUCUCUUUCUUUUCUUAAGGGCAACCAUGCUUUCCAUUUGUCUGUAAUACUAGAAAUAUUUCACUGUAUUUUUCUACUCUAUGCCUCAACUCUAUAUUUGACUUCAUUAGAUUUUAUAAAUUGUCUCUAAAUUUUAUUUUGUGUUUAUACUCUAAACAAAUUUAUACUUUAGGGUUUUUGCCUAUGGAGUCGAAAUAGUUUAUCAUUUUCUGACUGUAAUUCCUGUAACAUAUUUAAAAAUUAAAAACUAACUUUUUUCAUGUUGAAUUAUAUUGGAACAAUGUUUUCUUCCUUAUUUUUAUAUUUUUUCUUUUAAGUUUGUUCCCAAUAUCAACAAAAAAUAUAUUUUUAAUGUGCCUUUAUUUUAUCUCCACUCACAUAACUCCUGGGAAAAUUUUUUUUCUUGAGGAUGAGGAACUAUUUUAAAAAUCAUAUUUUCUGUUCUUUACGAUGCAAAACACUCUAUGCCAAUCCCUUUAUUUGCCUUGUGGCCAGUCUCAGUAUUUAAGAUGGUUAUUAGUAAGCUAUCCAAAGACAUGUAAAAACUGAAGCUCAGAGAGGCUAGGUAAUAUGCUUAGCUAUUAGCUUGGUGCAAAAGUAAUUGCAGUUUUUGCCAUUACUUUCAACUCUAAAAACCACAAUUACUUUUGCACCAACCUGAUACUUAGCACAACCAGCUAGUUACUGAGCAAUGGAAUCAAAAUUGGAACUCAUUUAUUAAGCCAAGGUUUCUCUUUGUUCUAGUAUAUGAGGUUGCCUGUGGAAGAGUCAAAAAAUUA
rnacentral:lncRNA from 10 species